rnacentral:lncRNA from 1 species
CUCCUCCUGACCCCAUCCCGCUGGGGGCUGGGUCUCACAUAGAAAGGGGACAGUCUGCAGCACCUUCUUCCUGGCCAAGCCCUUUCUCCCUAGGAGGACAGCGGUUCCUCCUUUAGUGAUGCUUGGCCCUGCCCCACUCAGUCUCCACACUGCAGCCGGAGGGUUAUUCCUGACACAAGUCCACCGUGGCCUUCUGCUGGCUUCAAAGUUGUGCCCUGAUGUCUGGUCAUAGCCAAAAGAGCCCUGAAUGACCAGCCCCUGCCUGCCGGCCACUUCUUCCUCGUGCUCAACAUGCUCCUGAUAUUUUAGGUCACCUUCAUCUUCACAUGAGCCAAGUUCCUCCUGGGGGCAGACUUCGCCCGUUUUUUCUCUCGCUCUUCCCCUGCAGCUCUCCUAAGUGAAUCCACCGAGCCCUUCUCUGUGGCUGCAGCCUACCGGCUACGUCUUCAGAGAGGUCACCCUGACGGCGCUUCCUGAACAACACUCUCAACCACCAUUCUCUGCUUAUUUGCUCAGCAAUUUGUUUUUCUUCUUUUCACACCACAACUAAUAAUUACUUGAUGUAUUACUCCAAACUGCUUCAUGGAAAUAACACGCUGUGUUCGGCUAUUUGGACUACGUGGGCUGAUGCAGGUGAGUAGUCUCGGUGCCUGGCUCUCCUUACUUGCUGUCUGGGCUCCACACAGCAGGUCUGCUUCCGAUCACCAGCUUGGGGCCCUGCGUCCCUCCUGCCUGAACCAUCGACCAACACAGACUCUCGGGCACCGGAGAUGGAGUGCCGUGCUAAGGGAUGUGAUUGCAGAACAGGUCUGGAUUAGAUCCACCCGCUCAUGCGUUUGAGUGCUCUAUCCUAUCCCGGAGAAGCACUGGAACAAGCCAGUAAAGGUGAAACCAGGGAGGAAAUGUUAGAAAUUAAACUCCAUUUUGCGCAUGCUCAGGAUGAACACUUCUCAAGGAACAUUACAUUCACGGAAAGAUGCUGAUUAUUGUGCUCAACAUCGCAGAGUGGCCAGGAUCCCCAUAAUUAGUCACUGCUGCCUUCGUUUACAAGGAUGCACAUACUGCAAGGCUGCUCAGGGCUGAAGUGCCCCGUAAUGCAUCUUUGCAGAGUCCAAGAAAAGAUGACAUUGGAAUAAAGAUCUGAAGGAAGUAAGGAAGACCUGCCGAAGAGAGGGAAUAGAAUGGAGGAAGGCUUUGAAGAGCAGUGAGGAGACCAGAACUGGGGAGAGGAGUGAAGAGAGUAGCUAGCACCGGAGAAUAAUCUCUUAUUUACAUAAAAGAAGAUCACUUUAAAUGAGGCUUUAUAUUAACACAUGACUGCUUCAACAGUGGGAGAGAAGAAAAAGGGAAGUCAGAAUAGUUUUGAUGUCUUUGUCUUUGAAAAACUGCAAUAAAUCCAAGGCUGAGGAUAGAGCGGCGAUCAGAAAUUAUAUGGAUUCCUCUAAGCCAAGCUAUAUAUCAUCGACACAAUCCAGCAGGCCAGGUAUGAGUGGAUUCCACAAAGACACCUGGAAGUGAUGACAGAAGCCUCAAAAUGAUAAAUGUAAAAAUCAAUGAUUUGUCUAUGGCAAGUCUCGGAGGACUGCUUGGGAAUAUCAGUGACAUUAGCUACUAAACUUGUUUUCACAAAAUGUUUGAAAAUAUUAUUCCCCCCCCAGCAGCAUCUGCUUCUGGAGGAUUGUGAUUAAAA